UACGAAGGGUGCAAGCGUUAAUCGGAAUUACUGGGCGUAAAGCGCGCGUAGGUGGUUUGGUAAGAUGGAUGUGAAAUCCCCGGGCUCAACCUGGGAACUGCAUCUAUAACUGCCUGACUAGAGUACGGUAGAGGGUGGUGGAAUUUCCUGUGUAGCGGUAAAAUGCGUAGAUAUAGGAAGGAACACCAGUGGCGAAAGCGGCUUCCUGGUCCAGCACCGACGUUCAGGCACGAAAGCGUGGGGAGCAAACAGG
rnacentral:rRNA from 1 species